AGCUAUGGCCAUGCUACCCUGAACAAGCCAGACCCCAUCUGAUCUCAGAAGCUAAGCAAGGUCAGGCCUGGUUAGUACUUGGAUGGGAGACCACUUAGGAAGAUCAGCUGUAGGUG
rnacentral:rRNA from 1 species